rnacentral:misc_RNA from 1 species
GGGAAUGCCGAUUGCUGCUGCCAUCAAGAUGAUCCCAGUAGGAUCAAGCUGAACUCAACUUGGAGGAAACUAGUAACUUACAACUGGCUUGAACUUCACUCAAGGGCAUCGACUCAAAUGUUUGCAGCUAUGAAUCAUAAGUGUCAAAGCGCUCAGUCUUGAAGGUGGGAGAUCUUGACAUAAAUGGGCAGCACGAGUUGGUCAAGUUGAUCAAGUUCCAACAGCUUCUCAUAAUGUUUGGAAGACCGCUCUGAAGAUACUGAACGGCUUGAUUCUCCUUAAAAACACCUUAAGGGAAACAUUUGUGAAGUAUUUCUG